UAGAUAUAUUUAUAAACUCAAAGAGGAUACAAGGACAGCAUUUAAAAUAUGAAAAUAAAUUGGAAUCCUCCCAUUGGAGGAAGAAAAAAAAACUGUGUGAAACAAUAGAUGUUUCGGAAGUAAACCUGCAAACAUGAAAAAAAAUAAAAAUUUGUUCUGUUUCUGUGAAGCAUGUGGUUUAAUAUUUCACUAUAACUGAAGUACAAGUUGUGAAGCUGGGUACUUUGAACCUGGGCUUUAUUUUUUGUUUUUGUUUCUAGUUUAUAAUAUUUGGAAAUUGAAAAAAGAAUAUAUUUGCUACUAGCAAGCUCAUUCCUGAAGAAAGAAGAAACGUCGCCAUUUAUUAGGGCAGCGAAUGCUUCAAAAUUUAUUUAGAAGAGAUUUAAGAACAGAGUCUCUCUCCUGGUCAUUAAAAAUCUCUAACUUUUUUCUCUUCGAGCCUGAAGUCACAUUACCAGUAAUGGUUGUCCUCAACGUAAGACUGAAAUUGAGCCCUGAAUUACAGUGGAAGAGGCCAAAGGCCACCAAAGGAGUCAGCCACCGGGCCGCCCAGACACUGCUAAACCCAGAACAUCUGGAAAAGAUGUUCGGCGCUCUUCUGCUGCAGGAAGAGCGACGUAGAGA